rnacentral:rRNA from 1 species
CGGAGGGUGCGAGCGUUGUCCGGAUUUAUUGGGUUUAAAGGGUGCGUAGGCGGCCGCGUAAGUCUGGGGUGAAAGCCCGUUGCUCAACAACGGAACUGCCCUGGAAACUGCGCGGCUUGAGUCCAGACGAGGUUGGCGGAAUGGGCGGUGUAGCGGUGAAAUGCAUAGAUACCGUCCAGAACCCCGAUUGCGAAGGCAGCUGACUAGGCUGGUACUGACGCUGAGGCACGAAAGCGUGGGGAGCGAACAGGAUU